GGAGAGCGAAAGUUUCCACUGUGUCACAGGAGACAUACCUAAAUUGGCACCCUCAAAACUGGUUAAUGUAAGGAAAGCUGUUUAGAGUCAGGCCAUGGCAGUUCUCAGUGACAAUAUCAUUAGGCUCUCCCUGAAAAAUCUCUUGUAUCCUUGAGAGCACUAGCUUCUUCUGUGAUGUAAUAAGUGUUGUCCUGACUGCAAAUGCCUCUCAGAUAUUACUUCAGUACCUAUAGGUUUUACUAAUUGGCCUCAAAUUCAGGGGAAACAGUCAUUAGGGAGGGAGAACAAAGACGAUGAAGAAAUCAGAGAUGGGGAGAACGAAGCUGGUCUUCUGUCUUGGUAUAAAAGAAGGAAGAAAUACAUCAUCCCUGAGAAAUCUCACUGAAGCCUUGGUAGGAGUGGAAUAUGAAAAAUAGUCCUGAGGAAGGAGGGACAACAAGUAUUGUAUCGUCAUGUCAUCUCAAGAAAAACUCUCAAAACUCAUCCUGGCUGACAAUGUAGAUUAGACGCAUCAGAUGAAAUGAAUUGAAAAACUCUCCUGGGAAUGAAAGUGGUAAGGAAAUCACAUUGAUGUAUCCUAAAUGCAGUGCUAAGAGCAAUAUUCAGACUAGUCUGUGGAGAUGCUGCUGUCAUCAGAGACCACAGACAAUUAGUGGAGAAUGAUUCAGCAUUAAACUGGGAAUGGAAGAUGAUGGUUGAUAUUGUUCUAGUAGAUCUCACUACAUUAAAAAGUGUUUCUUCCAGAUAACUGAAUGAUUAUUGUAAAGCAAAUCCCGGAAUGAACUUAUGAGACCCACCAUCAGCCUGUCAAAUAAUGUGCGAAAGAAGAAAUCUGUGUCUCUCCAGGGACAAAUUGUUGCUUUCAAACCAACAGUAAAGUGUCCAUUCUAUGAAUGAUACAUUGAUAUAUACACAUUAUAGAAGGAUGGAUACAGAGUUUCUUCAGGUCCAUGAAUGAGGUAUUCAGCAGUUGACCUGGAUCAGAAAUGAAGGUAAUUUUUGCCGACUCUUCAGACUUGAGCUCCUUCACUAGGAUCCCCAUGAUUGAAGAAAAGAACAAACUUCAGACAACUUGUCUCAGAUUUUUAUGUAGUUAAGAUUGCCUGGUCUUGGUCCUCGGAAGGAAGGAUAUCUUGCUUUCCAAUUCUUGUUUAUCCUAUAAUCCUCUCUGCUGCAUUCAUGCAAAUAGAUUACUGUGCAUUUCUUUAAUAGGUUACAAUUGCUAUUUUAAUUAUGUUGCCAAGAACUAUAGAAAAAAAGAAGGACUGUAUCAAAGCAUCAUAUGAAAAUCCGACUAAGAUAAUGUGGCCAUUGGAAAUUUGUAACUGACCUGAAACUCUUACUAGAGACAAAAUGCCAUAAAAGGUCUUCUCUAGAUAUCUGGUGCAGUAGUUGGUGUUCCCCAACAGACAGUAAAGGAUGAAUCUCUCUGUACAGAGAAAUCGGACUAGUCACAAUGAUCACAGACUAUGGAACACAUAAUUUAACAAUGACUGACUAUUUUUAAAGUCCUAGAAUCCAUUAGUUUAUUAGUCCAAAAGGCAAGAUGUCUUAUCUGGUCAUUGACAUAUGGAUAAAUAUUCAGUAUGCAGGUUCUAAUGUCUAUGAGGAUUUGGUAUCACUGUGAGUGCAAAAAUGAAAAAGUAAAGGCUUCUUUCUUCCAUGUUUUCUACGGGGAUUCAAAUAGAAUGCAUGGUUUAGAAUACAUUGGGUUUGCCAUUCUCAAAUAGACCAAUAUCUUCAAAUGAACAUUCUUUUCUUGGAAGCUGCACCCUGUCAGCAUGGCUCACGUGUAUGUGAACUGCAAGAUCUAGUCUGGGAAGGCGGUCCUGUUCAUCGAUCCCACCUGCCCCUAAUACUGAAAUACCCAAGACUUCCUCAAUCAACUCCUUUGCAAACAUGGUCUUCUGGGAUUUGAAGACAUUACAUCUACUAACAACACCAAUGAAAUUCAAGAUUACUUUCAACAGCUCCCUGGAGUGAGAAUUGUUCCUUGGGUCCUUAUAUGUAGAGAAAGACUGCAUAGGCAGACACAGUGAUCUAAUCUACCUGCAACAGAAUUAAGAGAUGAUGAUGUGGCUGAAGCAGAUUGGAGCUCUGCAUUUAUUAAAGGGAUGGCAGUAAAAGCCCAUGCUGACAGCAGACAUUCAGACAUGCUGAAGCCAUGCUGAGACUUGAUGUUUGUCACAGAUGAUGUCAGUAUUUUCUUAUGACUGGGAUUUUCAACAAAUUGGCUUUCAUUCUAUUCCUCAUUCCAAAAAAUCUUUUGCUGUAGGCCUCAAACCAUGGGGCAGGGAAACUUAAGAGACAACAGAGGAUUGAUAAUCCAGUCUUCAUUCACUGACUUGUCUCUACCUCUAAGUCCAUGUUUCACAAUCCAGUGCAUUUAAAUCUCCAGGGAAUCAGUUACUGUUUCUCUACCAUGCUGGUCUGCUGAAGUCAUUUUACAGAAGUCCACUUCCAAGUAAUUAUUAAAGCAAUGAAUAUUUUGAAGUUGUUUAUGAUCUACACACAGGCUUUUUACGCCCCAAGCAUGUACCAUCCCACUUCUGCAUUUGCAGCUCUCAGCCAGUGUUCUCGACCUAUCCAUCCAGCAACCCUUAGAUUCCACACUUUGUAUGAGGAUAAUAUUUGAAAAAACAGAAGAAUAGCUGUAGCAUAGUUGUUCUUCACUGAAGCCAUAUUAACACAGACGGCAGAGCAUAUGAUGCAUUCAUCUCUGUUUGUAGUGUUUAAUUCCCCGUAAAGUCCCAAACAAUUGAGAGUUGAUUCUGUCAGAGUACCAGCAAAGUCAAAAAGGAAAUGCAAAAUUUCAGAAUUCUCCUUCCAAAGAUGUUUUGAAAGAAGUUGUUUGCAAAACACUGUCUUAAUAAAUUUAUUCCAUUCUCACUUUGAU